GUGGGGUGAAGUCACAGCCCCACAAAUAAAGUUUGAAGGAUUUGGAGUGUUGCAGAGUGUUGGGCCAUUUCCCGUGAGAGUAGUGGAGCUAAUAAUAAUCAUGGCUAGGCUUCGCGAAUGAAGAUUUGGGGAGGG